GACCCGUCUUGAAACACGGACCAAGAAGUUUAUUUUGUGGGCAAGCCAAUGGGUGUCGCGUGGUGAUUGCCUCCUGGCAACAGUGUGCACAUGUAUAAACCCCACAGGCGUAGACAACUCGAACAAGGCAUAAGGGAUUAUGGGUUGGGCAUUGUCCCAAGCAUUCGUGGGGCCCCUCCUUGGAAAGCUGUCGCUCCUCAAGGAAGCGUACACACCCUGAUGCGGGACACCCCGGGAUGGAGGGGCCCGACGAAGGCUUGCGCCAAUGCCGAACCCGUAAUCCCUUAGCAACUUGUUCGAGUUGUUUACGCCUGUGGGGUUUAUACAUGUGC
rnacentral:rRNA from 1 species